GAGACAUACGAAUCAAGAGAGGAGGAAAAAGGGAUGGUCUUCCUUUCCUGUCCUUCUUUCUCUCUUACACACACACACCUUGUGCACCUGUCGUAGAUCUUUGAAAGAGGAUCUAUGUUUUUUGCAUCCCGUCCAUUUGUAUGUCUAUAGAAUGUAAUGAAAAAUCAUAUACAACUUUCAGCAACGGAUCUCUUGGCUCUCGCAUCGAUGAAGAACGCAGCGAAUUGCGAUAAGUAAUGUGAAUUGCAGAUUUUCAGUGAAUCAUCGAAUCUUUGAACGCAUCUUGCGCUCCUUGGUAUUCCGAGGAGCAUGCCUGUUUGAGUGUCAUUGGAAUUUCCUUCAACCACGUCUUGGAUCUAUCUAUGGUCAAGGCUUAUGGCUUGGAAUUGGGAGUCUUGCUGGCUCUGUCAGCUCUCCUGAAAAUGUAAUUUAAGCAAAAAGGAUUGGAGCAUGUCUUUUCUGGGCGUGUACGGCCUUUCGGCGUGAUAAUGAUCGUCGUGGGCUGGAGCGUUCUGACAUUGUGUAGUCCUGUGCUUCUAAUAUCUUACUUUUUGGUGACUUGACCUCAAAUCAGGCAGGACUUACCCGCUGAACUUAAGCAUAUCAUAC
rnacentral:rRNA from 1 species